GGAAUAUUGGUCAAUGGGCGAGAGCCUGAACCAGCCAAGUAGCGUGCAGGAUGACGGCCCUAUGGGUUGUAAACUGCUUUUAUGCGGGGAUAAAGUGCACCACGUGUGGUGUUUUGUAGGUACCGCAUGAAUAAGGACCGGCUAAUUCCGUGCCAGCAGCCGCGGUAAUACGGGGGAUACGAGCGUUAUCCGGAUUUAUUGGGUUUAAAGGGAGCGCAGGCUGAUGAUUAAGCGUGACGUGAAAUGUAGCCGCUCAACGGCUGAACUGCGUCGCGAACUGGUUAUCUUGAGUGAGUUCGAUGUUGGCGGAAUUCGUGGUGUAGCGGUGAAAUGCUUAGAUAUCACGAAGAACCCCGAUUGCGAAGGCAGCUGACGAGUCCUUAACUGACGCUAAAGCUCGAAAGUGCGGGUAUCGAACA
rnacentral:rRNA from 1 species